UUGUAACAUGGUCUAAUGGAUAAGGCAUCAGACUUCGGAUCUGGGGAUUGUGGGUUCAAGUCCCAUGCGCCUCGCAAA